ACAAUAGAUUGAUAAGCUUAAAGUGUUUAUCUUUUAAUUUUUGCAGGAAACAUCGUUUCAAGUGGUUUUAAUUUCAGGUGGUAAUUUUUCAUUUAUUCUGAUGAAUUAUGGUGACAUUGCUGUGACAGGACAUCCAGUGCAGGCUGGUUAUGACACGAUAAACUCCACACACUACUUUGUGAUUCCUGGAUCAAUCAAUGGCAGCUUCAUCUCAAACCUCAGGAACUCCAGUAAUGUUGAUGUUCCCGGUCGAUGGGUCUUCAGGGUGGACGGUGGACUAGGAAACAGUAAAAGUAAAAGCCUUAUCUAUAGAUAAUGUUAUGAUAAAUUUCCUAUCAUCCUUUACAGUGUUUGUAUGGUUAGUGUGAAAAAAAACACAGACAAACAUUUUAGGUGUUCCUGUGUGUUUCCUUCUAGACCAUGUCAUUGGAUUACAAAUUAGACUUUCCUCAUUUUUGGACUUGACACAGAGUGGCAGCACUGAAAUAGUUUUACAGCAAGUACGUCACACUUAAACUUACUAUGAAUAUUUAAACAGAAUACGGUUCAAAUAGACCACAUGGGGAAAGUUUGAUCUGUUUGUCCAUUUGUGUUUCAGAUCAAGCAGGAGCUGGUCAAGUACGGUCUGCCAAACAGCAUCGAGCUGAAGUUAAGAAAACUGCAAAAGAUAAAGCUGUAAUUUCAUCUUCUUUCAGGAAAAGAAGUAAAACCAGUUUGUUUAGCAUCUGACAACAAAUGUCCCUAACGACUGAUGAUGUAAUAGCUUCAGUUUUCAUCAUGGUGGUUUCAUUUAAAGGAUUACAAAGGACGCAAAACCACAUAAAAUUAUCAUAGAAGAGGUGCAUUGGUAUUCAUCACUGAACCUCCUUUUUCUUUACAUAUCAAUCAAAUAUCAACUGUCAACUGCAGAAGUUUACACUUUAUUGUAAGUAAAACUGUUUUUCUCAUUUACCUACAUUAGAACUAUAUCUUAUAAGCAUGCACAUACUUGUCUUGAUGUACAGUAGCCUAAAGUUUGAAUGCAGUUUAUGUGAUUAAAAGUGUCUGCCAAAUGCAUCAAUGUCAUAUUCCAUCUUAUUGCAUGAUUCUUCCUUCUUAUUUCUGUCUGUAAAAUCACUUAAUCAUUUUUAAAAUGGGAAUCUAAAUUUGUAACUUAAUAAAAAAUAAUAUUGUUUGACUAUAUGUCAAACCACCUUUAUUUCUUAUUAUUUCAGUUACAAACAUGAGAAAAGCAAAAACAGUGAUGGAAACUUGUGCUGUAUAUAAACUCUAAUAAGACUGUAGUGUGAUUGUUCAGCUCAGUUCAGCUUAGUUUAGUGUUGAUUUAGUUCAAUUCAAUAAUUGUCAAGUUCAUCAGUCAUGAAAUGAGUUCAACUAUAAGCAGUUUAACAGAAGGCAGCAAUGCAACAACCGGUUUAUUUGUAAAAUGUCUUACAGCAAAUAUCCCAGUGAUUAAAGAUUACACAUCA
rnacentral:lncRNA from 1 species